rnacentral:tRNA from 1 species
GCCCAGAUAGCUCAGUCGGUAGAGCAGCGGACUGAAAAUCCGCGUGUCGCUGGUUCGAUUCCGGCUCUGGGCA